rnacentral:rRNA from 1 species
AUUGAACGCUGGCGGCAGGCCUAACACAUGCAAGUCGAACGGUAACAGGAAGAAGCUUGCUUCUUUGCUGACGAGUGGCGGCCGGGUGAGUAAUGUCUGGGAAACUGCCUGAUGGAGGGGGAUAACUACUGGAAACGGUAGCUAAUACCGCAUAACGUCGCAAGCCCAAAGAGGGGGACCUUCGGGCCUCUUGCCAUCGGAUGUGCCCAGAUGGGAUUAGCUAGUAGGUGGGGUAACGGCUCACCUAGGCGACGAUCCCUAGCUGGUCUGAGAGGAUGACCAGCCACACUGGAACUGAGACACGGUCCAGACUCCUACGGGAGGCAGCAGUGGGGAAUAUUGCACAAUGGGCGCAAGCCUGAUGCAGCCAUGCCGCGUGUAUGAAGAAGGCCUUCGGGUUGUAAAGUACUUUCAGCGGGGAGGAAGGGAGUAAAGUUAAUACCUUGGCUCAUUGACGUUACCCGCAGAAGAAGCACCGGCUAACUCCGUG